UACGGAGGGUGCAAGCGUUAUCCGGAUUCACUGGGUUUAAAGGGUGUGUAGGCGGGCAGUUAAGUCAGUGGUGAAAUCUCCGGGCUCAACCCGGAAACUGCCAUUGAUACUAUCUGUCUUGAAUAUUGUUGAGGUAGGCGGAAUAUAUCAUGUAGCGGUGAAAUGCAUAGAUAUGAUAUAGAACACCGAUUGCGAAGGCAGCUUACUAAACAAUUAUUGACGCUGAGGCACGAAAGCGUGGGGAUCAAACAGG
rnacentral:rRNA from 1 species